rnacentral:rRNA from 1 species
GACGAACGCUGGCGGCGUGCCUAACACAUGCAAGUCGAACGGAACUGCUUCGAAGGAUUUCUUCGGAAUGACAUUGAUUCAGUUUAGUGGCGGACGGGUGAGUAACGCGUGAGUAACCUGCCUUCAAGAGGGGGAUAACAUUCUGAAAAGAAUGCUAAUACCGCAUGACAUAUGAUUGUCGCAUGGCAGACAUAUCAAAGAUUUAUCGCUUGAAGAUGGACUCGCGUCCGAUUAGUUAGUUGGUGAGGUAAAGGCCCACCAAGGCAACGAUCAGUAGGGGUUCUGAGAGGAAGGUCCCCCACAUUGGAACUGAGACACGGUCCAAACUCCUACGGGAGCAGCAGUGAGGAAUAUUGGUCAAUGGGCGAGAGCCUGAACCAGCCAAGUAGCGUGCAGGAUGACGGCCCUAUGGGUUGUAAACUGCUUUUAUAAGGGAAUAAAGUUAGUCUCGUGAGACUUUUUGCAUGUACCUUAUGAAUAAGGACCGGCUAAAUU